rnacentral:rRNA from 1 species
UACAGAACCCGCAAGCGUUAUCCGGAUUUAUUGGGCGUAAAGUGUUCGUAGGCGGAUCGUUAAGUCUGGUAUCAAAUACCUCGGGCUCAACCCGGGGGACGUACCGGAAACUGGCGGUCUUGAAGAUGCUAGGGGCUGUCGGAACGCACGGUGUAGGGGUGAAAUCCGUUGAUAUCGUGCGGAACACCAAAAGCGAAGGCAGACAGCUGGGGCAAUCUUGACGCUGAGGAACGAAAGCGUGGGGA